UUUAAUUUGCCAGAGAUAUUUGUUCUGAGC
rnacentral:piRNA from 1 species